rnacentral:rRNA from 1 species
CCUACGGGAGGCAGCAGUGGGGAAUAUUGGACAAUGGGCGAAAGCCUGAUCCAGCCAUGCCGCGUGUGUGAAGAAGGCCUUCGGGUUGUAAAGCACUUUCAGUGGGGAAGAAAGCCUUGGGGCUAAUACCCUCGAGGAAGGACAUCACCCACAGAAGAAGCACCGGCUAACUCCGUGCCAGCAGCCGCGGUAAUACGGAGGGUGCGAGUGUUAAUCGGAAUUACUGGGCGUAAAGCGCGCGUAGGCGGUCUGAUAAGCCGGUUGUGAAAGCCCCGGGCUCAACCUGGGAACGGCAUCCGGAACUGUCAGGCUAGAGUGCAGGAGAGGAAGGUAGAAUUCCCGGUGUAGCGGUGAAAUGCGUAGAGAUCGGGAGGAAUACCAGUGGCGAAGGCGGCCUUCUGGACUGACACUGACGCUGAGGUGCGAAAGCGUGGGUAGCAAACAGGAUUAGAUACCCCGGUAGUC